UACGUAGGGGGCAAGCGUUAUCCGGAAUUACUGGGUGUAAAGGGAGCGUAGACGGUAAUGUAAGUCUGGAGUGAAAGGCGGGGGCCCAACCCCCGGACUGCUCUGGAAACUAUGUUACUAGAGUGCAGGAGAGGUAAGCGGAAUUCCUAGUGUAGCGAUGAAAUGCGUAGAUAUUAGGAGGAACACCAGUGGCGAAAGCGGCUCUCUGGCCUGUAACUGACACUGAGGCUCGAAAGCGUGGGGAGCAAACAGG
rnacentral:rRNA from 1 species